rnacentral:lncRNA from 1 species
GUCCAUGGCAGUAGCAAUAAGAGGGAAUAAAGAAAAGGGUACAUCGGAAGUAGUUUCAGCAUCAUGAGGAAGGCCAUCAACAUGUGGAACUGUGAUAGGAAAAAAGGUAAUAAGAUUUGGAUGAAGGUUGAGAUGAAGUAACUUGUUGACUGUGAUAAAGAAAAGGGUACAUCGGAAGUAGUUUCAGCAUCAUGAGGAAGGCCAUCAACAUGUGGAACUGUGAUAGGAAAAAAGGUAAUAAGAUUUGGAUGAAGGUUGAGAUGAAGUAACUUGUUGACUGUGUUUUUAGGAAUGAAGAAAGAGAUUUUGUGUCCCCUUUUGGCUAAUUUGUUGGAGAGGUGAAGAUAUGGAGUUAAAUGCCCCAUAGCAAACCAUGGAAACAUUGCUAUGUGCAAAGAAGAAGGUGAAUCCAUUGUUGCU